AAACAGUGAGAAAGUGGCAAUCAGUUGAGAGAUGUUAAAACAGUGUGAUUGCCACUUCCUCACUGUUUUAACAUCUCUCAACUGAUUGCCACUUUCUCACUGUUUUA
rnacentral:pre_miRNA from 1 species